AUUGAACGCUGGCGGAAUGCUUUACACAUGCAAGUCGAACGGCAGCACGGGAGCUUGCUCCUGGUGGCGAGUGGCGGACGGGUGAGUAAUAUAUCGGAACGUACCUUUUAAUGGGGGAUAACUAGUCGAAAGAAUAGCUAAUACCGCAUAAGCCCUGAGGGGGAAAGCGGGGGAUCGUAAGACCUCGCGCUAUUGGAGCGGCCGAUGUCUGAUUAGCUAGUUGGCGGGGUAAGAGCCCACCAAGGCGACGAUCAGUAGCUGGUCUGAGAGGACGACCAGCCACACUGGGACUGAGACACGGCCCAGACUCCUACGGGUGGCUG
rnacentral:rRNA from 1 species